rnacentral:rRNA from 1 species
GUUGGGCUGUUCGCCCAUUAAAGCGGUACGCGAGCUGGGUUCAGAACGUCGUGAGACAGUUCGGUCCCUAUCUGUCGCGGGCGUAGGAAAUUUGAGAGGAGCUGUCCUUAGUACGAGAGGACCGGGAUGGACGUACCGCUGGUGUACCAGUUGUUCCGCCAGGAGCACCGCUGGGUAGCCAAGUACGGACGGGAUAAGCGCUGAAAGCAUCUAAGCGUGAAGCCCCCCUCAAGAUGAGAUUUCCCAGUAUGUAAGACCCCUUGAAGACGACGAGGUUGAUAGGUUCGGGGUGGAAGUGCAGUAAUGUACGGAGCUGACGAAUACUAAUCGGUCGAGGGCUUAUCCUA